rnacentral:rRNA from 1 species
GCAUGCAGGUGGUUCAUUAAGUCAGAUGUGAAAGCCCGGGGAUCAACCUCGGAACUGCAUUUGAAACUGGUGAACUAGAGUACUGUAGAGGGGGGUAGAAUUUCAGGUGUAGCGGUGAAAUGCGUAGAGAUCUGAAGGAAUACCAGUGGCGAAGGCGGCCCCCUGGACAGAUACUGACACUCAGAUGCGAAAGCGUGGGGAGCAAACAGGAUUAGAUACCCUGGUAGUCCACGCCGUAAACGAUGUCUACUUGGAGGUUGUGGCCUUGAGCCGUGGCUUUCGGAGCUAACGCGUUAAGUAGACCGCCUGGGGAGUACGGUCGCAAGAUUAAAACUCAAAUGAAUUGACGGGGGCCCGCACAAGCGGUGGAGCAUGUGGUUUAAUUCGAUGCAACGCGAAGAACCUUACCUACUCUUGACAUCCAGAGAAGCCAGCGGAGACGCAGGUGUGCCUUCGGGAGCUCUGAGACAGGUGCUGCAUGGCUGUCGUCAGCUCGUGUUGUGAAAUGUUGGGUUAAGUCCCGCAACGAGCGCAACCCUUAUCCUUGUUUGCCAGCGAGUCAUGUCGGGAACUCCAGGGAGACUGCCGGUGAUAAACCGGAGGAAGGUGGGGACGACGUCGAGUCAUCAUGGCCCUUACGAGUAGGGCUACACACGUGCUACAAUGGCGCAUACAGAGGGCAGCAAGCUAGCGAUAGUGAGCGAAUCCCAAAA